rnacentral:rRNA from 1 species
UACGGGGGGAGCAAGCGUUGUUCGGAUUUACUGGGCGUAAAGGGCGCGUAGGCGGCCACCGCAAGUCGAUUGUGAAAUCUCCGGGCUUAACUCGGAAAGGUCAACCGAUACUGCGGGGCUAGAGUGCAGAAGGGGCAACUGGAAUUCUCGGUGUAGCGGUGAAAUGCGUAGAUAUCGUAAGGAAGACCAGUGGCGAAGGCGGGUCUCUGGACAGUUCCUGACGCUGAGGCACGAAGGUCAGGGGAGCAAACGGG